rnacentral:ncRNA from 1 species
AAUCCAGGUGAUGCUGUUGAUCCUGUAUUUUUAUCGCCAAAGGACUCCCUGGGAUAUUGCCCAAUGGAGCGAUUUGAAUCAGCAAUCUUUAAAUUAAAAAACUAAUAAUGAAUAUAAUAAAUAAAAAGGACCAAUGCUACUUCGAGGAAUAGUUGACUUAUUCAGAUGACUUUUAAAACCAAUCGAGCUUUAAACGGCUCGUUAAUUGGUGACUCUGAAUAGCUUAGCUGAUCGCAUGGUCUAGUACCGGCGACAUAUCUAUCAAGUAUCUGCCUUAUCAACUUUCGAUGGUAGUUUAUGUGCCUACCAUGGUUGUAACGGGUAACGGAGAAUAAGGGUUCGACUCCGGAGAGGGAGCCUGAGAAACGGCUACCACUUCCAAGGAAGGCAGCAGGCGCGCAAAUUACCCACUCUCAGCAAGAGGAGGUAGUGACGAAAAAUAACGAGACCGUUCUCAUUGAGGCCGGUUAUCGGAAUGGGUACAAUUUAAACCUGUUAACGAGGACCUAUGAGAGGGCAAGCCUGGUGCCAGCAGCCGCGGUAACUCCAGCUCUCAAAGUGUAUAUCGUUAUUGCUGCGGUUAAAAAGCUCGUAGUUGGAAUCCAGCUUGACGACAUGGUCCAUUUAUUGGAUGUGAACUAUGAUCGUAGGCUAAUCUAUGUUGGUUUUCCUUGCGUUACCUUGAUCGGUCGCGUAAGGUGGCUAGCGAGUUUACCUUGAAAAAAUUAGACAUCACAGGGUUUAGCAAGUAAUGAAAUAUGCGUCAACUCCUGUGGUGGAUGACGGAGAAUGUGCCAAGAUCAGCG